rnacentral:rRNA from 1 species
GCUUGUCUCAAAGAUUAAGCCAUGCACGUCUAAGUAUAAGCGAUUAUACUGUGAAACUGCGAAUGGCUCAUUAUAUCAGUUAUAGUUUAUUUGAUGGUCCUUGCUACUUGGAUAACCGUAGUAAUUCUAGAGCUAAUACAUGCAUAAAGCCCUGACUGUUUGGAAGGGGUGUAUUUAUUAGAUGGAAACCAAUGCAGGGCAACCUGGAAUAUGGUGAUUCAUAAUAACUCGCGGAUCGGUUUACCGAUGCAUCAUUCAAGUUUCUGCCCUAUCAGCUUUGGAUGGUAGGGUAUUGGCCUACCAUGGCUUUAACGGGUAACGGAGAAUUAGGGUUCGAUUCCGGAGAGGGAGCCUGAGAGAUGGCUACCACAUCCAAGGAAGGCAGCAGG